AUGAUCCUGCGGGAUCAUGAAGGAGCGGUCAUCUUCGCUGCGACACGGGUGCUCUUUAAUUGUGGUGAUCCUCUGGAAGCGAAGAUGGCGGCCAUGGACGAAGGGCUUCGACUUGCGCUCGACUGGUCCAAUUUGUCGUUGGUUGUGGAGACGGAUUGCACUGAGUUGUUGAAGAUGGUGCAGUCUAAAGAUGUCGAGCGCUUGAGGUAUGCAAACCAGGUCAAUGAGAUCAGAAGGAUUCUGGCUCAUGAAAGAAACAUUAGUCUAGCUAAAAUCAGCAGACAUGCGAAUGUAGCGAGUCACACCCUUACUUGUAUGGUGCGCUCGCAACGUCGCAUAGCCUGUUGGCUUCGAAACUCCCCUGUGGAA
rnacentral:rRNA from 1 species